UAGAGGUAAUCUUAAAGUUAAGAGUAUUAUUUACAAUAAUACUAUCCUGUUAAAAUCAGGGCCUUUAA
rnacentral:tRNA from 1 species